rnacentral:lncRNA from 1 species
AACCAGAAAAGAGAAAAUUCAUAAAAAAAUAUCAAAUGAUAAAAUAAAAAAUAUUAAAAAUUAGAAAUAGAAACUAGAAUUUAUUUGGAGACUGAUGCAAUUGGUCCCAUAAUUUUUGGAUUAAAAAUGAAGAAGAUAUUGAUUUUUGAAAAUAAAAGGGAAUUAAAGAAAAUAAAAUCAGAAAUUAAAAAUGUGGAAAAUCCUGGCGCGUUAGAUCUCCUUUCAUUAAAUGACAUGGAUGGUCUAAAGGCAAUGGCAUGC